GCUAAUACCGGAUAACAAUAGAUGAUGCCUAUCAACUGUUUAAAAGAAUGGUUCUGCUAUCACUCUUGGAUGGACCUGCGGUGCAUUAGCUAGUUGGUAGGGUAACGGCCUACCAAGGCGAUGAUGCAUAGCCGAGUUGAGAGACUGAUCGGCCACAUUGGGACUGAGACACGGCCCAAACUCCUACGGGAGGCAGCAGGC
rnacentral:rRNA from 1 species